UGUGGUCACAGUGACCGCCACCGUUGCCCGGGGAUGGGUCCUUGAGACUUGGCUAAGCAGGCACCCUGUGUGAGCUUGGUCAGAGUCGGGGCUGAGACCAGUCCUGGCCAGGGCAGUUAACAGGAAGGUCUCCGGAGGCCGGGAUUCGCGGAGGGUCCAUCAGGAGGAAGAAACCUCAGACAGAUCUCCGGGGAGACAGCGCGGGAUCCCAGCCUCAGGCGUGCGCGGACAGUGUGCGGGAAGGGAGUGUAUCCUGGUGUAUGACAGCAUAUAGUAGAGACCAGUGUCAAUUAGGGCCUGUGAACUGAGACAGGGUGACUGGCUAAGUCCACAACCCAUUAGAAACCCAGAAAUAAUCAAAUCAUGAGGGAUCAUGGAAAGGAAGCUGAAUUUGCUGAGUUUUGCCACGUGGGCAUUGCAUGCCUAUGUGAUUAACCACCAAUAAAAACCUGGGACAUCAAAAAAUAAAUAAGCUGCUUUAAUUGCCAAGAAUUCACAUGUGGUUGUAUGCAGCAUUACUGGGAGAUUGAAGUGUAUCUGCAUGUGAUUCUACUGUGAUGGACACUUGUAAAUUUGUGCCUGGAGUCUCCUGGAAUUUGCCCUGAGAAUCUUUUUCCUUUGUUGAUAAGAAUCUGCAUCCUUUUGUUUUAAUAAACGAUAAACAUGAGUAUAA
rnacentral:lncRNA from 1 species